ACUUUAUUACGGAAAAUUGUUACUGGGAUAUGCUCCAGAGAAGAAAAUUGAAUAGGCUUAUUGUGUUAUAUAAUUACGUUUCUCUGAGCAAGUUAAGAAAAGCACCAAACAAGUCAGCCAAGGGCCCUAGGUUGCACCAAACAAGUCAGCCAAGGGCCCUAGGUUGCACCAAACAAGUCAGUCAAGGGCCCUAGGUUGCACCAAACAAGUCAGCCAAGGGCCCUAGGUUGCACCAAACAAGUCAGCCAAGGGCCCUAGGUUGCACCAAACAAGUCAGCCAAGGGCCCUAGGUUGCACCAAACAAGUCAGUCAAGGGCCCUAGGUUGCACCAAACAAGUCAGUCAAGGGCCCUAGGUUGCACCAAACAAGUCAGCCAAGGGCCCUAGGUUGCACCAAACAAGUCAGUCAAGGGCCCUAGGUUGCACCAAACAAGUCAGCCAAGGGCCCUAGGUUGCACCAAACAAGUCAGUCAAGGGCCCUAGGUUGCACCAAACAAGUCAGCCAAGGGCCCUAGGUUGCACCAAACAAGUCAGUCAAGGGCCCUAGGUUGCUCCUCUUAGAACCUCAAACAAGUCAGCCAAGCGCCCUAGGUUGCUCCUCUUAAAACCUAAGUAUCUGAACUGUUCAGUUCUAAGUAGCUUUUGUGCAGUACAUAUAGUAACUGUGUCUAAACACAUACUACAUGUAGUAUCUUUGUAACUGGAACCCUUUUCUCAGAUAUCAUCAGAACAAAUGUUUUGAUAAAGUUUCAUGCU